GAUUGAACGCUGGCGGCAGGCCUAACACAUGCAAGUCGAGCGGUAGAGAGAAGCUUGCUUCUCUUGAGAGCGGCGGACGGGUGAGUAAUGCCUAGGAAUCUGCCUGGUAGUGGGGGAUAACGUUCGGAAACGGACGCUAAUACCGCAUACGUCCUACGGGAGAAAGCAGGGGACCUUCGGGCCUUGCGCUAUCAGAUGAGCCUAGGUCGGAUUAGCUAGUUGGUGAGGUAAUGGCUCACCAAGGCGACGAUCCGUAACUGGUCUGAGAGGAUGAUCAGUCACACUGGAACUGAGACACGGUCCAGACUCCUACGGGAGGCAGCAGUGGGGAAUAUUGGACAAUGGGCGAAAGCCUGAUCCAGCCAUGCCGCGUGUGUGAAGAAGGUCUUCGGAUUGUAAAGCACUUUAAGUUGGGAGGAAGGGUUGUAGAUUAAUACUCUGCAAUUUUGACGUUACCGACAGAAUAAGCACCGGCUAACUCUGUGCCAGCAGCCGCGGUAAUACAGAGGGUGCAAGCGUUAAUCGGAAUUACUGGGCGUAAAGCGCGCGU
rnacentral:rRNA from 1 species